rnacentral:rRNA from 1 species
UGGGGAAUCUUCCGCAAUGGACGAAAGUCUGACGGAGCAACGCCGCGUGAGUGAUGACGGCCUUCGGGUUGUAAAGCUCUGUUAAUCGGGACGAAUGGUUCUUGUGCAAAUAGUGCGAGGAUUUGACGGUACCGGAAUAGAAAGCCACGGCUAACUACGUGCCAGCAGCCGCGGUAAUACGUAGGUGGCAAGCGUUAUCCGGAAUUAUUGGGCGUAAAGCGCGCGCAGGCGGAUUGGUCAGUCUGUCUUAAAAGUUCGGGGCUUAACCCCGUGAUGGGAUGGAAACUGCCAAUCUAGAGUAUCGGAGAGGAAAGUGGAAUUCCUAGUGUAGCGGUGAAAUGCGUAGAUAUUAGGAAGAACACCAGUGGCGAAGGCGACUUUCUGGACGAAAACUGACGCUGAGGCGCGAAAGCCAGGGGAGCGAACGGGAUUAGAUACCCCGGUAGUCCUGGCCGUAAACGAUGGGUACUAGGUGUAGGAGGUAUCGACCCCUUCUGUGCCGGAGUUAACGCAAUAAGUACCCCGCCUGGGGAGUACGACCGCAAGGUUG